UAGAGUUUGAUCAUGGCUCAGGAUGAACGCUAGCGACAGGCCUAACACAUGCAAGUCGAGGGGCAUCGGGGCGAGGAGCAAUCCUUGCCGCCGGCGACCGGCGCACGGGUGAGUAACGCGUAUGCGACCUGCCCGUUGCAGGGGGAUAAUCGGGAGAAAUCCCGUCUAAUACCGCGUAAUGCCGCGGGGCUGCAUGGCCCUGCGGCCAAAGGGAGCGAUUCCGGCAACGGAUGGGCAUGCGUGACAUUAGCUAGUUGGCGGGGCAACGGCCCACCAAGGCGACGAUGUCUAGGGGUUCUGAGAGGAAGGUCCCCCACACUGGUACUGAGACACGGACCAGACUCCUACGGGAGGCAGCAGUGAGGAAUAUUGGUCAAUGGGCGCGAGCCUGAACCAGCCAAGUCGCGUGAGGGAUGACGGCCCUACGGGUUGUAAACCUCUUUUGUCGGGGAGCAAAUUCCGCCACGUGUGGCGGAGUCGAGAGUACCCGAAGAAAAAGCAUCGGCUAACUCCGUGCCAGCAGCCGCGGUAAUACGGAGGAUGCGAGCGUUAUCCGGAUUUAUUGGGUUUAAAGGGUGCGUAGGCGGACUGUCAAGUCAGCGGUAAAAUACGGGGGCUCAACCUCCGCCCGCCGUUGAAACUGACGGUCUUGAGUGGGCGAGAAGUAUGCGGAAUGCGUGGUGUAGCGGUGAAAUGCAUAGAUAUCACGCAGAACUCCGAUUGCGAAGGCAGCAUACCGGCGCCCAACUGACGCUGAAGCACGAAAGCGUGGGUAUCGAACAGGAUUAGAUACCCUGGUAGUCCACGCAGUAAACGAUGAAUACUAGCUGUCCGGGGCGAAUGAGCCCUGGGUGGCACAGCGAAAGCGUUAAGUAUUCCACCUGGGGAGUACGCCGGCAACGGUGAAACUCAAAGGAAUUGACGGGGGCCCGCACAAGCGGAGGAACAUGUGGUUUAAUUCGAUGAUACGCGAGGAACCUUACCCGGGCUCAAACGACACAGGAACGUACCUGAAAGGGUUCGGCUCUACGGAGCCUGUGUCGAGGUGCUGCAUGGUUGUCGUCAGCUCGUGCCGUGAGGUGUCGGCUUAAGUGCCAUAACGAGCGCAACCCCCAUCGACAGUUGCUAACAGGUCAGGCUGAGGACUCUGUCGAGACUGCCGGCGCAAGCUGCGAGGAAGGCGGGGAUGACGUCAAAUCAGCACGGCCCUUACGUCCGGGGCGACACACGUGUUACAAUGGCAGGUACAGCGGGAAGCCACCUGGCGACAGGGAGCGGAACCCGAAAGCCUGUCUCAGUUCGGAUUGGAGUCUGCAACCCGACUCCAUGAAGCUGGAUUCGCUAGUAAUCGCGCAUCAGCCACGGCGCGGUGAAUACGUUCCCGGGCCUUGUACACACCGCCCGUCAAGCCAUGGAAGCCGGGAGUGCCUGAAGUGUGCAACCGCAAGGAGCGCCCUAAGGUAAAACUGGUGACUGGGGCUAAGUCGUAACAAGGUAGCCGUA
rnacentral:rRNA from 1 species